rnacentral:lncRNA from 1 species
UUUCUUUAUUUACCAUGUAACAUUGUUAUACAUCAGAGAGGAAUGGUAUUGAAAAGGUACCUGUUAUCAAGCUCCCUUGCAAGUCUUUUGCUAUAUUGGUUACACGCUAUCAAGUUUUCUUCUCUCUGCGCCAUAUAAAUCAUUUAUAAAUUCACAUGUGUCCAUAAAAUUACCUUGGAAAGUGCACAUUUGAAACAAACAGAGAACGUAUUGGGACUGGUACUUCAAUUGUUUCAUUUAUACUAUUAUAAUCUAUGGCUUUCACUGUCCAUUAACAUUACAGGUGUGGUCUGAGUUGUUAAAGCCUAGGUAGAGGUGUUAUGCUCUUGUUUUGACUGUAGAUACUGUUGAGGAUCGAGCUUCUAAUAGCCUGGCCAGAUGGUAAGGGUAUACAUCUAGGGAGAAAGGUAUGGGCUAUCCUUCCUUAUGCUAUAAUCUAGACACUCUGUCGAGUUCGUAAUAAAAGGAUUUUUAGGGAUAGAAUGUCAUCUAUUGAAAGAAUUUCAGUGGAAUUAAAGACUACAUGUUGGUAUUGGGUUGGAUAUUGGCCUGUGAGGCGACUGUUUUACUUUAAGGACUUGAUUUGCGAUGGUUUGAGCUGCUGAAUGGGAUGUUGAUCAGAAGUGCAUUAGAUCAACAACAACAACAACACUGACUGACUCAAAGUUCUUGGUUUUUUUUCCAUUUGCUUUACUAGAAUAUGUAACAGGGGUUCAAACCUGACGAUGCUUUAUUCAUUUUGAUCAGGUUGUUAUUCUUUAUUUAUUAAUAAAAAUCUUCUUAUAAAAAAAAUGCAGAACUUGAUGUGUAGACAAAAACAAGCUAUUACACAAUUCAAAUGUACCAACAUCAUCAGUAAAAAAAAAAAUACAUAAUACAUGACUUCAAAUAAAGGCAUCAAUUCCACAAUCAAUCAUUGGAGAUCGAGUAUUGGGUUCAAGAGUCGUUGGCAACAACACUGGCGCUUAAGGAGUUUCACUCAUGCUGGUAUCGUUAAUUAGCGCAGAACACCUGGGAUUUUAUUAUUGUGCCUUGGGAUAGGCAUAAUGAAUUUAUACAGUAUAGUGGGAAAUUAGAUAUGUCUAAUUAGGUGGGUUUUUUUGCAGGAGAAGAGCCUAAGAUGUGAACACACGGUGAAUUGCUUUUUCUUUGAUAAAAAAUAACUUUACCUCCUUUAAUUGAAACAAAGUACCUAUACCUCACUUAUAACAUUUUAAACACAGUAACAAACUACCUCUUCUAAGGACAUACAGAAAAAUAUGUUAAAGGUUGCAUACUUCUAAGGCCAGUAAUAUACAUGUGGGGGCUUGUGUUAUGAAGGAAUCUUUAUAAAACAAGCAAGUUGAAGACCUGAAUAUGGAAGUGAUGAAGAUAUAAAUUUAACAACUUCAAAUCAUCAGUCAAACAAAACAAUCAAUCCCAACAAAAUACCCCUCAAUUUCACAAUCAAUCUCAUAAGAAUCGAUUUUUAGAAGAAAAUAAUUUACACAUGCACUAACUUCGCACCAAUCUAAUAAAAUAAUUUAUCACUAAUUAUCCAUUAUUGAUUACAAGCAUCGAUUUCUAGAAUAAAAAACAAAAGGAGAGUAUAUUAUCAAUCUUACCAGCAUCGAUUUCUAGAAUAAAAAACAAAAGGAGAGUAUAUGAGAGAGAGAGAAAGAGCUUAUUACCAAAAUCAAAAAAUUCCGACGAAAUUGAUCGAGUAGCAGUGUAGGGAAAGAGAAAGAAGAGCAGCGGACGAAGGUGGGAAGGAGAGAAGUAGAGAGAUGAAUACCAAAAAAGGGUUUUAAUUGAAGUGAAAAGAACUAUCCCGAGAUUAGUUCUCAACUGAAUCCAAAUGCAACGCCUCAUGUGCUAAAAGCAUGCCAAGUUAGAUCUUAUUUUUC